GAGACUCUUAAGCAGGCUCCACAUUUAGCGUGGAGCCCCAAUGUGGGGCUUCGAUCUUGCGAUGCUGGGAUCACGACCUGACACAGAACCAAGAGUCAAUGCUCAACCGACUGAGCCUCCCAGGCGUUCUCCUUUUUAAUCACUCCCUUCAACACCAGUAUGUGGCUGGGAUGUAAAUCAUGAACGGAAACCCCUAUUUUCAGAGAGCAGUGUUCUUGCUGACACUUGGGGGUGCGAGAGCUAUGUUGUCAGCCGUUUCCUCGUUUCCGUCUACGAGGAGAUCCUUCAGGAGUAUUGCAAGAGGCAGAAUUAUGGGUCAGAACUGUGGACACUUCGGGGGCCCCUUCGUUACAAAUGCCCACACCGCCCUCCGGUCUGCAGUCCCCAGGCUGCGAUGAGCGUGUUCCCUGUGUUACCAGGCAGCCACGCACAGCCAUCUCCCCUCCUGCAAACACUCCCCUUCUGAGGGAAUGUCCUCACUCCUCUGCUGACUCAGCCUUCGGUGGGAGCCUCCCUUACCAGCUCAGGGUGGACACAUAGCCCUCUGAGUUUAGAAUCCUGAGCCGAAUGGCUGCAAGGUCGAGAAGCCAUGGGACACACCUUUGCAUGUGCGUGUAGGCUCUCCAGGCGUUCUUAGCGCGGCCAAAGCUUGAAAACACCACAGGGAUCCAAACAGGGCACGGUGCUAAAUAGGUUUGCAAUAUUUUGUCACCUGGAAAACGCCUACACCUGUGGCUGAGUUAUUCCAACAGAGGCAACACGCCUGUUUGCCAGUUCCUCUCCUGAGCCCCCGUCGUGCUGGCCUGGCUCCCGCUUGCACUAGGCCGCCCUGACCCUCACCCCACCUCUAAUCCUCUUGGGAUGAUUUUGGCCAAAGCUCUUCCUGUCUCUUGAACCCGGAAAGCUGCCUGAUAGCCCAGCCAUAGGCACUUCCUGGACUGCCGAGCGUCUGGGACACGCUGCAGAAGCCUGACAGAUUUAUGCUCUGCUUCUAGAGCAGUGGGUUUGGAGAGUUACACUGGGUGGGGCAGGGCACCGGUGAAAGGGAGAUGCAAAUGAAUCGUCUUAAAGAGCUUACCCAGGGAACAGCCGGCCGGCCCUGCAGUGAACAAUGAGGAUGGCUGGGGCGAAUUACCCGCUCAGCUGUCAUCCCUAAGCAGAGAAGUGUCAGAGGGGACCGGAGAGCCCAGGAAGCACGUAAGGAAAAAGCAAUCUGGGGCCCCCACCACCCAGGGAGGUGUGCUGGAGAGGGACAUCCACACCAACUUCCUGCCUGCCUUGCAGAGGCUGGAGAGCUCAUUCCCUGCAGCGAGGGCUUGGGAUGUCCUUCCCUGGGCUUUUCAGGGCCCUCGCAUAGUCAUGGGUCAAUAUGCGCCGCUGCCCGCCCCGCUUCCCCAGCCCAGGCCCUUCCCUGCUCUUAUGCCUCAUCUCCUGUGUCUGGGAGGAGGGUCUGGCUUUUCCUCCAGCAGCAUCUGGGGGCCCAGCGCCAGCCUCUUGACCCCCCACCUUCGUGACUGUGGCAGAGGCUGAUCCGGGCCAGUUCUGCAGUGCUGCUCUGGGCUGGUUCCUGAGGGCCUGGACCUCCAGACUUUCUGGUGAUGUCGGCAGGCUCCUGACCCCCUGUAUUACAACUCUUUCUGCUUAAUACAGCCGCGUGUUACGGACUGGAUGCUUGUGUCCCCCACAAUUCAUAUGUUGAAACCCUAACCCCAAUAUGAUGGGAUUUGGAAGUAAACAGGCUCAGAUGAAGCCAUGUGGGUGGAGCCCCCAUGGGAUUAGAGUCCUUACGAGAAGAGAAAGCGAGACCGACGACCCCGCUCCUCUCUCAGGCACGUGAGGGCACAGCAAGAAGCGGCUACGUGCCAGCCAGAAAGAGAACUCUCCGGAAACUGAACUCACCGACCCCCCUCACCUUGGACUCCCUAGCCUCCAGAACUGUGAGAAAUAAAUGUGUGUUGCUUACA